rnacentral:lncRNA from 1 species
UUACACUGAGGUUUAUGGUCUAGACUUAGCUACUACAAAUGCAAGAGCACACAACACUUCGUGAGGGAUUACCCCUAGAAGUCCCCAAGAUCUUUUGAGGCUCGUUGCAUAAUGAAGAGUCUUCCAUCUCGAUGAGCCUAGUGCCACUAUUGCACUGGCCCUUAUUUAGGGUACGGUUUUUAUUUAUAAUUCUACUACUCGUGCCUU